CCCUUCAUCCUCUGUGUGGCCCGCACCAAAUUCUCUGGAUUCCUCUUGGCUUGUUUGUCAUGCAUGUGAGAGGAUGUGGCCGGCUAAGACUCCAAAAGUGUUUGCACUUGGAGGAUUGCAAUAUGUUUCAGUAUGUGAGUCAUCAGAUAAACUGAGGUGAUUUAUUUUACGGUGGGAACCUUCUGGAUGUUUCUUGUGAUAAACCUCUACCAGACACUACAGACAGUUUGAGAAGCAAUGAUCUUGAUGAGCAGUAGCCUGGUGAAAUAUGUUCUCAAUCCUGGAUGCAGCAGUUGUGUAUAACUUUGGUCACUUCUCAUCAUGAAGGAAUGUCAUGAACACUGUGAAGAGGCAAUGAAUUUAAAAACAAUGCAAAGAAGAAUGCAGCACCAUGGGAUCUGCUUUUCCUCAAAGGAAUUCAGAAUGUUCACGAUGGAUACUAUGGCCUUCCUAAGACAUGAAGGCACAAGCAGUGCUGUCUUUCCUCCUCAUUCUUACACAGUCUCUCUGUAGAGUUCAAGCAAGAUUGAAAAUGGGAAUGCCUCUCUAAAAUUGAGAAGAUUAAGUCUUCUGGAUGAAGGAAUUUAUAUCUGCUAUGUGGGGACAGCAAUUAGACAGAUCACAGAGUGGUGCUAAAGGUUGGAGAUUCAAAUUAUGGGAGAGGGGCUAUCGCAAAUCAGUUUCUACAUUGAAGUCUCCAUAAGUCAAGUUCCAACAGAAAACACAUGGAACAAUUAAAACUGUACAAAAUGAGCAUGGAAGAGAGGACAUGAGAGGACACAAGAGAGAAAGUGUUGUGUCUCCACUGAUGAAAACACUAGAAAUAAUGGAAAUUCAGAAGUCAAUGCGCCUCUUAACAAAGCCAGACAGUAAAGGAACUGAAGAGACUGUGAUGAGUGUCCAUAAUAUGCCGUGAUGUCAUCCUGCCCUUCUUCACUGCAAUGCCAUGCACUGCCUUGUCAGGCCUGACAGUUUUAUCUCAGCAAAGAAUGAACUACUCUUUUCCAGUGCUGUGCUCUGAAUGUGUCCUCAAUAAUUCACGUAAUGUAAACUUGUAACUGCAAGUGUUGGGAGCGGACCUAAUAAGAGAUAAUUUGGCCAUGAGGGCCCUACCCUGAUUGGGGGAGUGGGUUCUUGCAAGGAUGAUAUGUUACGAAAUGUGUUCAGCCCCCUCAUGCUUUUGUUCUCUUGCCCUUCUGCCAUGGAUACAGCAAAGCGGUUCUCAACAGAGGCCAGCACCUUGAUUUUGGACUUCCCAGUCUCCAGAACUGUAAGAAAUAAAUAUGUUCUUCAUAAUUACCUAGUGUUACAUAUUACAAGACAUCCAGUAUUACAUUCAUUCAUCAAGAUAUAUGCGCCAUUACUGACCCACCCUCCCACCUGCAUUAGAUUAUGAUUAUGUAGAUGCCAAGUGUCCUAACUUAACUUAGUAAAAUAAUUGUCUUAUUUAUUUACACUCCUGAGGCAGUAAGCCCAGGAGAGUACAGUGAGUUUCCACCUAUAACUCAGGCAUAUACUACCAGGAACUGAGCCAAACUCUGGUCAACUGAUGAGAUAAGAGCAGUAGGAACAAUGUCAUCUCAGUGAAAAUACAAAAAGCCAGGGCCUGAAAGCAACACAGUCGAUUUGAGAUGGUACACCCUAGGUUUAUGUAAAUGGUUGUAUGUGCAUAACCCACAAAAUUUAGGAUAGUUAAGUCUCAGGGAUCCUGAAAAGUAAAAAUCUUGGUAUUUCCAAGAAUUUUUAGGGGGAAAGUCCCCGUCAAGAAUUGACCUAGCUGGAGUCAGGAUGCUAUGGUCAAGUGACCCUGACCGUGAAGAUAAUUUGAUGAACUCUGUCUUAGUUGGCAUAUUGUUAAUCAGCCUUCUAAUAGAUGUAGAUUUCCACAUAAAUUUCAUAGAUUAAGAGAAUGGAGUGCCCAGCUGUCUUUAUUCCCCUUAAUUUCAGUCAUCAAUUUACAACAAAUCUAAUGUUAAUUUGUCAGUAUAACCAGAGUUUCUGUAAUUUAGCCAGUUAGUGUUGGCCAUAUAGCUUAUUAAAACAAACAAAAAAACCCUGAAGUGUGUUAUGACUGCCACCUGGUUCAGUUUUCUCUGUCAGCUGUUUUAUAGUUUCAUACUUUCUACAUAGUUUUAACUCAAGUGUUUGCUAUUUUGUGACAAAUGUUCAUAAACAAUAAAGUAUUAAAGCCU